AUUGGGGUGCCUGAAGUUGAAAAAGGGUCACCUUGAUAUGGUGGAAAAUGUGAAAAUCACCCCCAAUA
rnacentral:tRNA from 1 species